rnacentral:siRNA from 1 species
AAUAGAAUUUUGAAUGUAAAGAC